UGACCUGCACACAGCAGGGGGUUGGGACUGGAUGAGCACUGUGGUCCUUUGCAACCCAGGCCAUUCUGUGGUCGUGCGAUUCUGUGAGUUGCUGCCUAGCACACAGGCAGCAGGAGAGCUUGAAAAGCUGUGGGCUUUGCAGGUUGCAAGAUGCACCUUUACAGCAUUUGUCUCUUUGCUUGAUAAACAGUAGAGUUGCCCCAGGUAUAAUACUGUUAGAUAAAGCAAAGCGCCCUCCAAGGCAGAGGUAUUUAUAGUUCUGCUAUUAAAACGUGCCUUACAGCUCAUUUCUCUAACGUAAUGUUGGCAAAAUUAGGCUGAAAUUACUGCGAAAACUGCUUCUCACCAGAUUCUUUUUUAUAGUUCUGUCCUUUGAUUAGGUCGGGAGUUGGCGGGGUCAGCUUUCCUCGGUCGCCGCGAAUGAAGUGGAACAAGGAAGCUGCUGUGAGGGGAAGAGCCAACUGCUGCAAAACAGAGUGAGGUGGUCGUCCUUUUACAGCAUGAACUGUGUUAUCAGGAAGAUGUGAAAUAAAUGUGACAAAGCGAUACAGUCCUUUAAAUCUGCCUUAAUUUUACUGGGAACACUGGUGAGUGAGCCUGCAAUGGCUGAGAUGUCUGAAUGUCUCUGCACACAUGGGCGCACAGAAGGGCUGAUUGUGAUGUUACAUGUAACACUUUAGAUCUUUUCUGAAUUUUCUCAUUGCCAUUUCGGUCUCUUUUCAUCACCCUUUGCAUUGCUAAGCCUAUCUCUGCUCUGUCAGACCCAUGUCCCCUUGCACUUCAGCCCCUCCUGCGGAUGCUGGUCCAACACCAACACAAGGCCCUGCUCAUUGCUAGCUGGGAUUGCUCUUCCCAUCCAUUCAUUCUCUGCCUGUGCUACGUAACACUGGCAGAGGAUGCAGUGCUGAGCCAACUGUGGGAAAUAAAGAAGUGCAGAACUGUACUUUUUUCCUUGAAAAUAGAGGAUUUGCUCUGGUGAGGGCUGAUGAGUGCUCAGGGGGCUUCCUUGCUGCACUUCAGGUGGGCAGGGGCUCCUGGUAUUUCUUUGUCUUCCCUGGAAGCAGAUGGUCCAGUGCAGAGGGAAUCAGCACAGCACAGAGCAAGGGACUCUGGUUAAGACCAUGUGCAAACACACUGUAAGCUGUGCUUUCCUGGGGCAUUAAUCCAUGAAGAUAUUAAAGAAGCUACCAACAGCACCUCCCUACCAAGAGACCUGCUGGCAGGCCAUGGUCACUGGUGCAGAGUUUUCUACCCUGUCGUUUCCCGUCAGACCUAUUGCCUCCUCUGCUCAUAUGGGUCCUCAUGUCUGCUGGGGAUAUGUUGAGGUCAGGAGCAUUGUGGAAUUUUCCUCUAGAAAAAAUACGUUGGAGCAUUUUGUAACAUAGAAUGGUGUGACCAGUAGAGAGCUGCAGAGGUACAAGUACACACAGGUGUCAAUGGAGACACUGCCCAUAAGGGAAUCAUACAACCCCAGAUUCAAAAGAAUGGUUCCUCUCCUAUCUGCCUGCUUACCUUUGUAUUUACAUACAUUUGUUCUUUUUGUCUAUCUGCAGCAAAUGCAAGGCAAUACCAGGCACUGUGUGAAGCUUUGCAUGUGGUUGACCUGCUCUGCUCUAGGGGCUGUGUAUGGUUAGAGUGUGCCUUGAGAUCUACAGGAGGAACAGCACAAGCAGGUGUUUGUACUGCUUGCUUAUCACAGGCAUCUUCAGGUACCCUGGGCUGUAAUUGUAAGGGAUUAUUAAGUAGGAACUGUAUGAAAAUGGGGACUGUGUACCAAAGCUCAUGGCUCUUGGUCAGUACCCAAAUUAGAAACCUGGAGACUUCAGGUGGGGCCAGCUGUGGGUUGUCUGUGAGCAGUGUUUGAUCUCGUGGUGUACUCCUCAAUGGCAGAGACUUCUGUUUAACAUUUUUGUUCCUUCCAGUCUCUCUUGUUCAUUUAAAGGAAAUCCUCUUUCUCCUUGACAGCUGCACAUGAUUACCCAAACCCAGCUAAAUCUUGAGUGAGACCAGUUCCUCCACAAACCAGAUGUGAAACCAAGCAUCUGACCUGAUGUCACAUUUGAAAAUAGCAGGGCUGGAAGGAGGAGGCAUGGCAAUGAGAAGUUUGGGUCUGUUUUAGAGGUCAGAAGCAAGCCCACUAACCUGCACUUGGCAGGUGUGUUGUGCAUCACCCUGCCUCCAGUGAGCAGGAUGGGCUUGCUUCCAUCCACACUGCCUUCCUUCCAUCCACACUGCCUUCCAUCCACGCUGCCUUCCAUCCACACUGCCUUCCUUCCAUCCACACUGCCUUCCUUCCAUCCACACUGCCUUCCAUCCACACUGCCUUCCUUCCAUCCACACUGCCUUCCAUCCACACUGCCUUCCUUCCAUCCACACUGCCUUCCAUCCACACUGCCUUCCUUCCAUCCACACUGCCUUCCUUCCAUCCACACUGCCUUCCUUCCAUCCUCACUGCCUCUCAGCAGCCAUGGGUAGGAGUGUGUGCUCAGCUCUUUGUUCUCGCCCAGCAGGAGGCAGGUUCCUGCUUCCCGUGUGCCUGGGUGCUCUUUAAUCUAUUGUUUGUCUUAUAAAAUGGCUGAAUAUAACAAAGAUCUUUUGGUUUAUUGAAACUGCCUAGGAAAAAAAAUUAUUUAAACUAAUACAC